rnacentral:rRNA from 1 species
GAGUUUGAUCGUGGCUCAGAGCGAACGCUGGCGGCAGGCUUAACACAUGCAAGUCGAACGGGCACUUCGGUGUCAGUGGCAGACGGGUGAGUAACACGUGGGAACGUACCUUUUGGUUCGGAACAACUGAGGGAAACUUCAGCUAAUACCGGAUAAGCCCUUACGGGGAAAGAUUUAUCGCCGAAAGAUCGGCCCGCGUCUGAUUAGCUAGUUGGUGGGGUAAUGGCCCACCAAGGCGACGAUCAGUAGCUGGUCUGAGAGGAUGAUCAGCCACAUUGGGACUGAGACACGGCCCAAACUCCUACGGGAGGCAGCAGUGGGGAAUAUUGGACAAUGGGGGCAACCCUGAUCCAGCCAUGCCGCGUGAGUGAUGAAGGCCCUAGGGUUGUAAAGCUCUUUUGUGCGGGAAGAUAAUGACGGUACCGCAAGAAUAAGCCCCGGCUAACUUCGUGCCAGCCGCCGCGGU